UGAAGUAACACAUACAGUAUGGAAUCAUGUAGUAACAUUUUUUUUAAAGAAAUCAAAAUAGAUUUUAUUUUUGAGAUUCUUCAAAGUAGCCACCCUUUGCCUUGAUGACAACUUUGCACACUCUUGGCAUUCUCUCAACCAGCUUACCAUGGAAUGUUUUUCCAAAAGUCUUGAAGGAGUUCCCACAUAUGCUGAGCAAUUGUUGUCUGCUUUUCCUUCACUCUGUAGUCCAACUCACCCCAAACCAUCUCAACUGGGUUGAGGUCGGGUGAUUGUGGAGGCCAGGUCAUCUGAUUCAGCAAUCCAUCCCGCUCCUUCUUGGUCAAAUAGCCCUUACACAGCCUGGAGGUGUGUUUUGGGUCCUUGUCCUGUUGAAAAACAAAUUAUAGUCCCACAAAGCGCAAACCAGAUGGGAUGGCGUAUCACUGCAGAAUGCUGUAGUAGCCAUGCUGGUUAAGUGUGCCUUGAAUUCUAAAUAAAUCACUGACAGUGUCACUAGCAAAGCAUCUAGUUAAAUAGUUAAAUAAAGGUUAAUUGAAAAAAUUAAAUCACACCUCCUCCGUGCUUCACGGUGGGAACCACACAUGCGGAGAUCAUCCAUUCACCUACUCCGCAUCUCACAAAUACAUGGCGGUUGGAACCAAAAACCUCAAAUUUGGACUCAUCAGUCUGAAGGACAGAUUUCCACUGGUCUAAUGUCCAUUGUGCUUGUUUCUUGGCCCAAGCAAGUCUCUUCUUAUUAUUACCUUCAAACUCAGUGGCUCUUUGCUUGACAUUGUGGGAAAAUCCAAAGAAAUCAACCAAGACCUCAGAAACAAAUGGUAGACCUCCACAAGUCUGGUUCAUCCUUGGGAGCAAUUUCCAACCGUUUGAAGGUACCACGUUCAUCUGUACAAACAAUAGCACUCAAGUAUAAAAAUCAUGGGACCACGCAGCCAUCAUACCGCUCAGGAAGGAGACGCGUUCUGUCUCCUAGAGAUGAACGUACUUUGGUGCGAAAAGUGCAAAUCAAUCCCAGAACAACAACAAAGGACCGUGUGAUGAUGCUGGAGGAAACAGGUGCAAAAGUAUCUAUAUCCACAGUAAAUUGAGUCCUAAAUGGACAUAACCUGAAAGACGCAAGGAAGAAACCACUGCUCCAAAACCACCAUAAAAAAAGCCAGACUACAGUUUGCAACUGCACAUGGGGACAAAGAUCUUACUUUUUGGAGAAAUGUCCUCUGGUCUCAUGAAACAAAAUUAGAACUGUUUGGCUAUAAUGACUAUUGUUAUGUUUGGAGGAAAAAGGGGGAGGCUUGCAAGCCGAAGAACACCAUCCCAACCGUGAAGCACAGAGGUGGCAGCAUCAUGUUAUGGGGGUGCUUUGCUGCAGGAGGGACUGGUGCAUGUCACAAAAUAGAUGGCAUCAUGAGGUAGGAAAAUUAUGUGGAUAUAUUGAAGCAACAUCUCAAGACAUCAGUCAGGAAGUUAAAGCUUGGUCGCAAAUGGGUCUUCCAAAUGGACAAUGACCCUAAGCAUACUUCCAAAGUUGUGCACAAAAUGGCUUAAGGACAACAAAGUCAAGGUAUUGGAGUGGCCAUCACAAAGCCCUAUAGAAGAUUUGUGGGCAGAACUGAAAAAGCGUGUGUGAGCAAGGAGGCCUACAAACCUGUUACCCCAGCUCUGUUAGGAGGAAUGGGCCAAGAUUUAGAUUUACCCAACUUAUUGUGGGAAGCUUGUGAAAGGCUACCUGAAACGUUUGACCCAAGUUAAACAAUUUAAAGGCAAUGCUACCAAAUACUAAUUGAGUGUAUGUAAACUUCUGACCCACUGGGAAUGUGAUGAAAGAAAUCAAAGCUGAAAUAAAUCAUUCUCUACUAUUAUUCUGACAUUUCACAUUCUUAAAAUAAAGUGGUGAUCCUAACUGACCUAAGACAGGGAAUUUUUACUCUGAUCAAAUAUCAGGAAUUGUGAAAAACUGAGUUCAAUGUAUUUGGCUUAGGUGUAUGUUAAAUGUCCGACUUCAACUGUACAUAUUACCUAAAUUACCUUGACUAACCUGUGCCCCCGCACAUUGACUAUGUACCGCUACACCAGGUGUAUGCACUGCAUGCUUAGUUUAAUGAACUGAAAACAAACUUAAAGAUACCCCCAAAAAUGUGUCCAAUCAAUGUUUCUAAAUAUCAUCCAUGGUACUGAUUUCUGUCUGUGUGCGCAUGCAAGUACAACAAAACAUUAUUACUCACCCUACUUGUAGACUAGUUGAACACUACUGCCUUCCUCCUCUCUUUCAUCUUGGCCAAAUGGUCUAUGGAUCUAUCAUACAGUACACUUUAAGUUUAUGUUGUAAAAAGGUAUCUAGCUAAAAUACUUGCUAUCCUAACUUCCUGAUUCAGAGGGGUCGGGUUAAAUGUGGAAGACACAUUUCAGUUGAAUGCAUUCAGUUGUACAACUGACUAAGUAUCCCCCUUUCCCUUCCUCUCAUGGGUAACAAUGAACCAGUUAAGUUAGCUAGCUAGUUAAAGUGAACCUACUCAGCUACAUCUAGGCUACAUAUUGAACUUCAAUUGUCUCAGGCCAGUGGCACAACAUAUUCAUUCACGGUUACAUCAGAAUCUCCAUCAUAAUCAUUUUGUCUGUACAGAGAAUUUAGCAAGCUAGCUACUGCAGGACAACACAACCAGACCAGAAACAGACACGUUUUUCUGAACAGUACAUUUUGCUUAGGAAGUGAUUUGAUUGGGGAGGCUUUUGCUGCACCAGGACAGCCCACAGUUGAGCUCAGCUCAAAGCUGAUUGGCAAAUGAUUUUAUAUAUAUUUAUUUUGCCAGCAAGCAUCAAUCAAUCAAAUGCUACAGUGGCAAUAUGUUAUACUUUUUUGGUUCAGACAGCAUCAGAUUUAUGGGCUUCACAUACUGAGACAGAUAUUACAAGUUCAUAAAUAACAGCUAAAUUGCAUCUAAAUAUGGUAUAUAGCUAUAAAUAGAACACUGCAUCAGGAAAAAAGUCACUAGUAAGAUAAUGUUUUGAGGGUGGACUGACUGUAUUAUUUGGCAUUAAUAGACUGGUUUUCAGUACAACAACUUUCUAUCCAAGCUGAGAGAGCAUGCAAUUAUAGCUUGUGUCAUGCAGGAACAGGGCCAUUGGCACAACCCUCUGUGGAGUCUUGUGGUCAAUAGAAACACACCCCACCCAGUUGGGGAUGACACCUACAAAGACACAGGCACAAUGUGUGUGUGUGUGUGUGUGUGUGUGUGUGUGUGUGUGUGUGUGUGUGUGUGUGUGUGUGUGUGUGUGUGUGUGUGUGUGUGUGUGUGUGUGCACACGUGUGUGCGCCUGCCUCUCACCUGACUCAUUGACCCUUCCCUCUCACCUGACUCCACUGAGAGAAGGGGAAACAGUGUUCCAGCUGAUGGUGAAACUCAAGUCGCACUGCAUUAAUUCUGCCUCAUGCACCAAUUCAUGUUGUUACUCCUAUGACCAGAAAAUGUUAAAUAUUCUAUACUCAUUCAUUGCAGCUGCAGCGCUGGUUGUAGCGUGAGUGGAAGUAGGAAGAACAUACAUUUUAUGGCUUAUAAAAAUGUGGAACAAAGUGUUGACAGUGCUGAAUAACAACCUAAACAUUAACUUACAAAUUAAAACAGCAGCUCUUUGCUGUAUUCAUUGAGUCCCUCUAGUCAUGGUUUUAAAAGUGUUGAAAUCUCACAGUAUCAACUGUGCUGUGUGCUUGAGGCUUCUUUUUUUCUUUUUUUUUACAGCCUAUGGCUCGAGGUGUGCAGACACGAUGAUCAGAGCUAUCUAAUUGGCCAACGGUAGGCCUAAAGGUGCACUUGAUUUGCUCUCUGGGCCUGCCGGGUAGUCAGAGUUCUACCUUCAGACAAAUCAUAUGGUUCAAAAUGGGAACACUUUGCCUUUCUGGAACUAAGGCUGCUGAAUCAAGGUCACCUACCGACAACAACAAAAACAAAACAAAAAAAAGAACAAGACUUUGUUGUUUUUACCGAAAUGUUUGGUGGCCGAUAUGGUUGACCACUAAUCUACAUUGAUAGAAGUGGAUUUAAUAAGUGACAUCAAUAAGUGAUUAUAGCUUUCACCUUGUCAGUUAAUGCCAUAGAAAGAGUAGGUGUUCUUAAUGUUUUGUACACUCGGUGUACAUGACAAUGUGCUGCGGUUUCAUGUCUGUUCACUUCCUCUGUGAUUUUAGCAGAGCGUGAGAGAGAACAAAAGAACUAGCAAAAGAAGAAUUCUUAAGACCUGCACUUGAAUGCCCGCGACCACAAAUAAAUGAGUGUGAUUCCUCACUUCCUUCCUAUUGGGCAUGAAUAGCGCAAGAGCACAGGGUGUAAACUCUUUCCACCCCUUCUGUGCAUGGAUGUGUGUGUGUUGGUUUAGUGAAGUAUUGUAGUAUGUGGAUAGGGACCCUGCAUACAUAUACUAUACAUAUACAGUAUAUGUAUGUGUAGAGUGUGUAGACUGAAGAGGGACCGCUCCAGUUCUCCUGCAGACCUCCUAUGCCAUCUGGAAUUUACAGGGCAGAAAUGCAAAUCAGCUGCAUCCAUAUGAUCCACCAGGGCCAGCUCUCUCCAUUAGAGCAGCCCACACAACUAAAUAGGUCAGACAGACCAGCAGCCAGCUGUGUGUGUGUGCGUUUGUGUUUGCGUGUGCGCAUGGGAAAGACUGCACACAUGCACGGUUCCUUUGUGUAGUGAGACGGUUGUGCAUAUGUGUGUGUGUAUGGGGGGUGGGGGUUGGGUUGAUAUGUCAGUGAAUAGAGGCCUUGUGUUAUCUAUCACAUGUGUAUGUGUGCGUGUGUGAAUACCACUUAAAGAUAAAAAUAGUCAUGUAAAGCAGCAGUACAUACUCAGUCUGUUAGAUGUAAACAUUCUAACACACAACAACCUUACUACGCUAAUCUUCAAAGAUGUAUUUUAACCAUAAAUUAACACAAAAUGGCCACACACAGUAUGUGACCAGACAGGGUUUUUAAGCAACUCAAUGGCAAGUAAUGCCGCUUAUCUGAGCCUGAGCAGCAACACAACUGAUAGGGAACCUAUUAAUGUUCUGAAAACCAAACACACAGGAGGAUAAUGCAAUGAUGAGGCAACACGUGUUAUGCAGACAGACGUGACUCCUCUCAAUUAUAAAUGAGGACUUUUUACAGCCAUUGGCUUUCUUUAUGCUCACAAUUACAUGUUUUCUUUUACUGGGACAAUAUCACUAAAAGUGUUAUUUUUUUGUCCUUCAGAUAAAUCAUUCAAAAUUGUAUAUAAAAAAAUAUACACUGGAUCAAAUUUCAAAAGUGUUAUCAUUUGUAUGCCUUCGUGAUAAUAGAAGCAUAAUGACAUACAUAGACUUCAAAGUACAUUUUAGAUUUUAUUUUAUUAAAGUUUAAGGAGGCAAUUUUUCAAUGUCCCAAGUGCUGCUAAAUCAACUUCAAUGAGAAUAAUUAGGAAUAAAAUUAUACAUUAAAAAAUAUAUAUUUUAAAAUUUUCUUCAUUAAAUGUUAUCUUAUGUAUAGUAUUUUUAUGUUAAAUGCUGCACUUUUUAUAAGAAUAUUGACUAUUUUCUGUAUGUCCUCAAAGUUGUUGUCCACCCUGUUACAUUGUGGUUACUGGUACUUUAAGAAAAUAUAUAUUUUCUACAAUGACAUCACAAACAGAAAAUGAUGGAACUUUCUUGGCAGGAAAACAACUGUGGUGAACCUGGUGAGUAUCUAGAUUUCAUACUAUUCCAUUUUCAUCAUUAUAUGUUGGUGAUGUGAUGUGGGAAAGCAUAACAUGUCCACCAUGUUAAGCAAAAAUACAACAGACGUUUCAUAAUAUAUUUGUCAAACAAGGAAAAUGUAUUUUCAAGCGACAGCCAUUAUCCUAGCCUCAUCACGAUCACUUGGAGCAUAGUUGCUAAUUUUAGCUCAAAAUGUUCACCCUAUUAUUGUCCACCCUGUUAUCCAUGUACAUGUAACAGGGUGGACAUGCACUCAACAGGGUGGAGAAAUGGAUAUCUUGCAGUAAUGUGUUGCAAAAUAUGUUUUUGUUCAUAAAUGUUAUUACAUAAUUAUAAGUAUAUAUAGCAUGUAUAGUAUUUUAAUAAUAAAUACAUAUCAAUUGAAUCAGGUCUUUCUGAAGGAAUGGCACCUCCUCUUAGCGCAGCUGAAAGACAGCGGCAAUACAGAGAACGACGUAAUGCUGACUCAGAAAGAAGGAGAGAAAUGGAGGAGAGAUAGGGAAGUCUGGGAAGAAGAGGGCAAUAGCUGAACUCAGUGACAGAGUGCACCGUUCAGAAAGGAAAGAAAUGGAGAGAUUCAAAAAGAAUACUCAGAGCCAGGGCCAAGACUAGUCCAUUGCUGCAGUCUACAGAGAUGCCUGCCUUAGAUGCCAUGAAAGGAACGAUGAAGAUUCAUCAGGUCAUCAGUGUCUCACCAGGCCAGAUAAAAUACAGGGACAUUACUUGUCUGUGCAAGACGGAUAGUGGCAUGUUGGACUGUCCUUAUUUUCAGCUCAAAGAGGCAACUCUGGGUGAGCCUGCAGCAUCUAACCAGCUCCCUGCAUCUCAUGACAAGGCUGACACCACAUGGCGACCUGGCACCAUUGAACUUAAUCACGUAGGGGAGUGGUGUGUUGUCAAUUACGACCAUGAAGGAUACCCUGUAGAGGAACAUAAAAUUAAGGUGAAGUGCAUGCGCCGGAAUGGCAUCAACAAAUUCUUCUGGCCAAGUCCAAAGGAAGAUAUUUGUUGGUACUCUGAUGGACAGAUCAUUUGUCUGAUGCCAGAGCCACAUGCUGUUAAUAAACGCUCUGUGCAGAUGGGAAAAAUCCACCUGGAAGUAUGUGGAAGAGCAUUUGGGGUGAAAGGGGGAGAGAUGGAAAGAGGGGGAGAGGAAGAGAGGGACAGGAAUGUGUUUAAUUGCUAAUUCCAAUGAUUUUGUACCGGCAAUGUAUUUUUGUGUUGUUGUUUUUCACAGUGAAUAUGUAACUAAAUAGCAGUUCCAAUGUUGUUACUACAUGAAUUACUAUGUAGAUGUCUAUUCAGUGUUCAAUAUUCAGGGAUUCAUUUAUUUUCUGUCCCGUUAUAGCUGUCCACCCUGUUAAACCUUGUCCACCCUGUUAUCAUGUCAUCUUUUUCAAAUUAAUUCAGUUACAUUGUCAAAUAUCAAUCAUUUGAAAUGUAUUUUAAAGAGUUUGACACGACCAACACCACACAAUUAUAAACUUGGAUAAAAUAUCAAUACCUGUCUCAGUUUAGAAAUAUAAGGUGCAAGUUAGAUUAAGUUCUGCAUAGAACCACACAUUGUUUUCAAAAUGUGCUAUUUCUUUAUAAUUUGACCAGAACAAAUGGACAGGUUCGACAAGGGGCCACAAUAGCUUUAUGAAAAUGUAAAUAUUAUUAAAAUAGUCCAAUGAAGAUAAUUAAAGUCAUAUGGCUGAUUCACUGAAAAUGUGUUUAUAAUGAUCUAAGUGCUAGAGCUUGGCCAACAUGUUUUUCUACAAGUCUAAUAUUUCCUUUUUAUAGUAAAACAUAAAAGGAAUACAAAUUCUGAAAUAAAAUGUAAAAAUGUG